CUGACCACCACAGACCACCACAGACCCCUACAGACCCCUACAGACCCCUACAGACCACUACUGACCACUACAGACCACGACAGACCACGACAGGCCCCUACAGACCACAACUGACCACCACUGACCACUACAGCUAGAACUGUCCACUACUGACCUCUACAGACCACCACAGACCACUACUCACCACUACUGACCACUACAGACCACCACAGCUAGAACCGCCCACUACUGACCACUACAGACCACUACAGACCACAACUGACCACUACAGACCACUACAGCUAGAACCGCCCACUACAGACCACUACAGACCACUACAGACCACUACAGCUAGAACCGCCCACUACAGACCACUACAGACGACUACAGACCACCACAGCUAGAACCGCCCACUACAGACCACUACAGACCACUACAGACCACUACAGACCACUGCAGACCACUACAGACCACUACAGACCACUACAGACCAGAACCGCCCACUACAGACCACUACAGACCACUACAGAACCCUACAGACCACUACAGACCACUGCAGACCCCUACAGACCACUACAGACCACUACAGACCACUACAGACCACUACAGACCACCACAGACCACUACAGACCACUACAGACCACUACAGACCAGAACCGCCCACUACAGACCACUACAGACCCCUACAGACCACUACAGACCACUACAGACCACUACAGACCACUACAGACCACUACAGACCACCACAGCUCCAGUGUAUGAGUCAGUUCAACCAUUUCCUUCAGCACCUCUCCGCUCCAGUAUAUGUGUAUUAUCUAAGAGGAACUUCCAUCCUCAGGGAAGCCUCAGGGAAGCCAAAGCUGGAUGACGGGAGGCCGUCCGGAGACAGAGAGGCAGGCAGCCAAGGGACAGGGGGAGAGGACAGUGGAGACAGAGAGGCAGGAUGCCAGCGGACAGGGGGAGAGGACAGUGGAGACAGAGAGGCAGGAUGCCAGCGGACAGGGGGAGAGGACAGUGGAGACAGAGAGGCAGGCAGCCAAGGGACAGGGGGAGAGGACAGUGGAGACAGAGAGGCAGGAUGCCAGCGGACAGGCGGAGAGGACAGUGGAGACAAAGGGGGAAGCCAGGCAGGCAGGGAUAGAGGACAGGACAAAUCCAGCCAGCCAGGCAGGAGGAGAGGACAGGACAGGUAUAGGAGAGGACAGGACGGAUAUAGAGAGCCAGUCAGCCAGACAGGAGGAGAGGACAGGACAGGUAUAGGAGAGGACAGGACAGGACAAAUCCAGCCAGCCAGGCAGGAGGAGAGGACAGGACAGAUAUAGGAGAGGACAGGACGGAUAUAGAGGGACCGGCAGGCAGGAGGAGAGGACAGGACAGAUAUAGGAGAGGACAGGACAGGUAUAGAGGGACCGGCAGGCAGGAGGAGAGGACAGGACAGAUAUAGGAGAGGACAGGACGGGUAUAGAGGGACCGGCAGGCAGGAGGAGAGGACAGGACAGAUAUAGGAGAGGACAGGACGGAUAUGGAGAGCCAGCCAGCCAGGCAGGAGGAGAGGAC
rnacentral:lncRNA from 1 species